ensembl:lncRNA
GAAUUCUGAUCCACUCAUAAAGACCCCAUGGUGUGACAAAAGCGGUUAUGGGUCUGCUCUCCUUCGUCAUAAAGCCCUGAUGGUACGCUUUCCCUUGAUCUAACAGAGAGAACCAACAGUUUCCUCCGAGGCCAUCCAUUAUGUCUUGCACUCUGGGGAUAGGCUGGCGGUCAGGGAGGGUCUUUCUGUUCACUUCGCGAAAGUCUAUGCACAGUCGGAGACUCCCAUCCUUCUUUCGAACGCACACGACUGGUGAUGCAUACGGUGAAUUAGACUUCUCCACCCAACCCUGAGCGAUGAGAUCAUUCAAGUAGUCUUUCAUUUCCCGAUAAAGUGGCUUAGGCACCGAGAGGUAUGCUUUUGCGACAGGCUCCGUGUCUUUCAGGGAAAUGCUGAGUUGAAGUUUUUCGAUACAACCGAUAUCAUCCUCUGUUCUUGAAAAGGAGGCACACUCCUCUCGUAACAUCUUGCUAACUAUCUCACGUUCUGGCUCACUGAGGUGGCCCAAAUCCACAGGUGGAUCCCAAACAUUGCCUGUAGUCAGAUCCUUUUCAGCGCUGAUGUGAUUUGUUGUAGCUGAAGGCGGAGGGCGUGACCCCUCUAGUAUGGAGGCGGGGUAGACUGUUUGGACCUGCUGGACAGUCCCGACUACAGUUUUCCCUGGUAACAUCAUGUCAUGGUCUGUAAUAUUCUGCACACUUACACUAAUAGAGGGUUUUUUUCUGUCCUUAUCUACUUUCACCAGCAUGUCACAUAGUUCAAGUCCCUCUGCCCAGCGGGGGUUCACAUCUGGCUCGAAGAGAAAUAUGUUGUCUUCAUGUGGAGAAUCCAUGUUUACAUGACACUCAACUCUGACUGAUGUGCGUUUUGCCCGCAGAAAACCAGUAGCCCUGUGGCGGAUCCUGCAUCUGCUGACCUGAGAAUUGCAGUCCUAAUGCGCCAUCGGCCCCCCCUGCUGGCGGUGGUUGUAUGGACUCCCUAAUAAGCUUCGCUGGACUGCACUGAAUGGAUGGUAACAGGUCUUUGUUGUCCUGAUAAUUUUUUCUUGUUCUGCCUCUCGGUCUCAUAAGCACAUGCUGUAUUCACUCGCUCAAGCAACAGUUCAUCAGCGAUGUCAGUUUGCUCCAAGUAAGGCUGAAGAUCCCGCCUGAUGUUGUCAUUCUGCAGGCCAGUUAGCACAGUGUGAAGAAACAUCUUCUGCACUAACCCAGGGUCAUAUUGGAGACCUGACUCAGAUUCCUGCGAAGCGAACAAAAUUUUUUGUCUCAGGUCGAAAGUGCGAAUUAGGAAGUUCUGUGGGGUUUCUUUGAUGCCCUGCACCUCUGAGGUCAGCUGCUUAUAAAGGUCGGUUGCACUUUUCUCUUGAUAAUGACUUCGGAGUAUUCGCCUCAGCAUGGGUAAGGUUAGGUUGGUUUUGCCCUCUAAAUAGCUGCGGAGUUGCAUGCCUGGAGAUAUCGCUCUUAUCACUGCAUCUGCUAUCUCGAGUUCCAGAAACCCCUUGCUUAAGCCAUGUUCAAUUUGACGUGCUAGGCUCGAAAAAGUCAGCUUGUCUCUCUGACCGGGCUCACCGAUUUGGCCAGCAAUCUUAAAAUCCUUUUGCCAUGGGUGAGGUGCAGGACUGUGGACUACACUCUGUGGUGAUUGUCUGGUGGGGGUAAUGCUUUUAAU